AUGCACUACUUCGCAGACAAUCCUACCUAUCUGCCAAACCUCUUCCGGAGAUGGUAUCGAAUGCGACGAUCCCUCUUCAUAAAAAUUGUGCAAGCUUGCGAGGUUAAUUCUCGAUUUUUUACUCAAAGGAGAAACGUCGUGUGUUUGUUGGGUUUUAGCGCAUAUCAAAAAAUCUCUGCAGCUAUGCGGGUAAUUGCAUAUGGCAUUCCGGCUAACUAUGCCGACAAGUAUCUUCGCAUUGGCGAAGAUACCACAAUUGAGUCAGUGUGUAGGUUCGCCAAAGUGAUCAUCCGCGUCUUUGGUCAUGUAUAUCUUCGUGCACCCAACAUGAAAGACACAAAAAAGUUGAUGGCAACCAACAAGAGGUGA
rnacentral:rRNA from 1 species